AGUUGCUCAUUCACCUUUUUAUGAUAGUCCCGCGUUUAAGCGGAAUAUGCACUUCAUAAACCAUCGAAUGAUGCCUAAGAAUGGUGCCUAUCGUCCACCGAAACCGAUAAUUGCUGCGUAAGCGCUUUAUCAAGCAUCGGACGACACGUUGAGUGAGGCACCGCCUA
rfam:Yersinia ruckeri strain 37551 YRO1b0000006, whole genome shotgun sequence.